rnacentral:tRNA from 1 species
UUAAAUUUUAAUUUAUGAAUUUUAAAUCAGUUUCGACCUGAUUAAUGAUUAAAUUAAUUUUAUUAAUCCAUAAAUUAAU